UCAAACGAAUUAAAUCAGAGGUCU
rnacentral:miRNA from 1 species